UAGUACUAGUAAUAAUGAUCACCCGACUUCUAAUCGUAAAAGAAGAAGUCGGGUAUGGAAUUUUUUUGAAAUAAUAGAAGGUACUAAUAGUAUUAAGUACAAAAUUUGUAACGAAACUUUUCAACAUUUGACCGAAGGAAAUUUAGGAGGGAUUGGACCAUUUACAAGACAUAUGAGAGCUGUCCAUCCUAUAGAAUGGGUCAAUAAUUAUGGGAAGCAAUGAUUUGUAAGUUUUAGACUUUUAGUAUGUUUGNNNN
rnacentral:lncRNA from 1 species